AACGCGAAGAACCUUACCAGCUCUUGACAUGGGACGUAUGAACUUUAGAGAUAAAGUUCUUCACUUCGGGUGGCGUCCGCACAGGUGCUGCAUGGCUGUCGUCAGCUCGUGUCGUGAGAUGUUGGGUUAAGUCCCGCAACGAGCGCAACCCUCAUCGUUAAUUGCCAUCAGGUUUGGCUGGGCACUUUAGCGAAACUGCCGGUGAUAAGCCGGAGGAAGGUGGGGAUGACGUCAAGUCCUCAUGGCCCUUAUGGGCUGGGCUACACACGUACUACAAUGGUGGUGACAAAAGGCAGCGAAGGGGUAACCCUGAGCGAAUCCCAAAAAGCCACCUCAGUUCGGAUUGUCCUCUGCAACUCGAGGGCAUGAAGUCGGAAUCGCUAGUAAUCGUGGAUCAGCAUGCCACGGUGAAUACGUUCCCGGGCCUUGUACACACCGAGUAUA
rnacentral:rRNA from 1 species